UUUAGAUCCAAACCCUAACACACCACACC
rnacentral:piRNA from 2 species